rnacentral:lncRNA from 1 species
UGGUUUUAGACUUAAUGCAGCUCUGAUUGGGCCUCACCAAGUUCAAAAGGAAGCUUCUAAAAGCUCAAACUGUUUCCAGGAGGGUUCUCACUGAAAAGAAUGCAGGCCCCCAAAGAGUACGGCAACAUCUUUAAAGUAAUGAAAGAAAAAUGCUAUUAACCUAAAAUUCUACACGCUAAAAAUAUUCCUUAAAAAAGAACUUGUCAUAAGCAAAUCUGUAUUACCAGGAAUUAUUAAAGGAAGUCCUUCAGGAAAAAGAAAAAUGUUACCAGGAGUAAAUGGCAAAUAAGUAUUACAGAAGGGAAGAAAAACAAAACAAACAAACAAAAAAACCCUCUGUUAAAAGUGAUAAAUUAGUAAAAAUAAAGGAGAUUAAAAGGACAUUCAAAAAUUAACAUAAUAUUAGUGAACUGUAUUGCAAUUUCAAGUAAUUUAGAGUACAUAUAAGUGGAGUCCCCAAAGGACAGGAGAGAAAAGGGGUAGAGAAAACAACAGAAGAAUAGCUGAACUAUUUCCAAAUUUGAUGAAAACUAUAAACUUACUAAUCCAAGAGUCUCAACAAAGCUCAAACAAAAAAGGUAUAAGAGGUAAAAUCUUAUCAAGGAACAUCACAAUUAAAUUGUUCAAAAUUGAUGAUAAAGAAGAAGACUGAAGGAGCUGGCUGGGACUGUAGCUCAGUGGUAGAGCGCCUGCCUUGCACAUGUGAGGCACUGGGUUCGAUCCUUAGCACCAUAUAAUAAUAAAUAAAUACAGAUAUUGUAUUAAAAAAAGGAGAAGACUGAAAAAAAAUAACCAAAGGGGAAAAAUACAUUUAUGUACAAAGGAAAAAAAGCAUGGAUGACAACAGACUUCUCAUGGGAAACCAGGCAAGUAAGAAGACUAUGGAGAAAUUCUUAAAGCACUGAAACAAAAAACUGUAAACCGAGUAUUAUGUACCUAAUAAAGAUGUCAUUUUAAAAAAAAGCAAAAUAAAGAUCUUUCUAGAUGUAUAAAAACUGAAAGAAAGCAUCAUCAGCAAGCACGCAGUACAAAAUGCUAAAGGAAGUUGUUUAGGCCCAAAGAAAAUGUUACCAGAUAGAAAGACAGAUCUACACUAAAGAACAAUGAGCACCAAAACCAGCAGCUACAUGGGUAAAUACAAAAUUUUUUUUUCCAAUUGUAGUUUAUAGUCUAUUAAAAUAAAUAAAACAAAAAGGUACUAUGGUAUUUUAUGCAGAAGUAAAAUAUAUGGCAAUAAUUGUUGAAAACCUGGUAGGAUGGGGUGGCGGGUGCUAGGGAUGUGACUCUUUGGUGAAUUCCACAAAAUAUUAAAAAAAAAAAUACAAACUUCAUACAAACUCCUCCAGAGAAUCAAAGAAAUUGGGGUAGGGAAG